rnacentral:rRNA from 1 species
ACGAACGCUGGCGGCGUGCCUAAUACAUGCAAGUCGAACGGCUUUUCUAUGGAAGCUUGCUUCCACUGAGAAGAUAGUGGCGGACGGGUGAGUAACACGUGGGUAACCUGCCCAUAAGAGGGGGAUAACAUCCGGAAACGGGUGCUAAUACCGCAUAGUUUUCUUGAUCGCAUGAUUGAGAAAGGAAAGACAGCCUUUGUGCUGUCGCUUAUGGAUGGACCCGCGGCGUAUUAGUUAGUUGGUGAGGUAAUGGCUCACCAAGACGAUGAUACGUAGCCGACCUGAGAGGGUGAUCGGCCACAUUGGGACUGAGACACGGCCCAAACUCCUACGGGAGGCAGCAGUAGGGAAUCUUCCGCAAUGGACGAAAGUCUGACGGAGCAACGCCGCGUGAGUGAAAGAGGGUUUUCGGAUCGUAAAACUCUGUUGUCAGAGAAGAACAAGUUGGGGAGUAACUGCUCCAGCCUUGACGGUAUCUGACCAGAAAGCCACGGCUAACUACGUGCCAGCCGCGGC